rnacentral:rRNA from 1 species
GACGAACGCUGGCGGCGUGCUUAACACAUGCAAGUCGAACGGAAAGGCCCUGCUUUUGUGGGGUGCUCGAGUGGCGAACGGGUGAGUAACACGUGAGUAACCUGCCCUUGACUUUGGGAUAACUUCAGGAAACUGGGGCUAAUACCGGAUAGGAGCUCCUGCUGCAUGGUGGGGGUUGGAAAGUUUCGGCGGUUGGGGAUGGACUCGCGGCUUAUCAGCUUGUUGGUGGGGUAGUGGCUUACCAAGGCUUUGACGGGUAGCCGGCCUGAGAGGGUGACCGGCCACAUUGGGACUGGGAUACGGCCCAGACUGCUACGGGAGGCAGAAGGGGGGAAUAUUGCACAAUGGGCGGAAGCCUGAUGCAGCAACGCCGCGUGCGGGAUGACGGCCUUCGGGUUGUAAACCGCUUUCGCCUGUGACGAAGCGUGAGUGACGGUAAUGGGUAAAGAAGCACCGGCUAACUACGUG